rnacentral:rRNA from 1 species
GUGGGGAAUUUUGGACAAUGGGCGCAAGCCUGAUCCAGCAAUGCCGCGUGUGUGAAGAAGGCCUUCGGGUUGUAAAGCACUUUUGUCCGGAAAGAAAUGGCCUGGGUUAAUACCCCGGGUCGAUGACGGUACCGGAAGAAUAAGCACCGGCUAACUACGUGCCAGCAGCCGCGGUAAUACGUAGGGUGCGAGCGUUAAUCGGAAUUACUGGGCGUAAAGCGUGCGCAGGCGGCGAUGCAAGACAGAUGUGAAAUCCCCGGGCUCAACCUGGGAACUGCAUUUGUGACUGAAUGGCUAGAGUGCGUCAGAGGGGGGUGGAAUUCCGCGUGUAGCAGUGAAAUGCGUAGAGAUGCGGAGGAACACCGAUGGCGAAGGCAGCCCCCUGGGAUGACACUGACGCUCAUGCACGAAAGCGUGGGGAGCAAACAGGAUUAGAUACCCCAGUAGUCC